rnacentral:lncRNA from 1 species
ACACAUAUCGAAGCUGCUAUAUAAGUUUGCAGUAUAAAAUUUAACUUCAGACAACUGAUUUAAUGGUAAAAAAUGCAUCAAAACCAGGAACACAUAACCGGUCAAGCCCCUACUCUUUUUAACACUUGACCUCCUUGAGUCCAUGUGCGAGGUACAAAAAGGUAGGAUCAGUGGCGCCAUCCUUGUAGUAGGCAAACACCAUUCCAGUAUCAUCAGCCAUGCUCUCACCAACAAAGAAUUGAAGGUCACUGAGCUUUGACAAAAGGUACUUGGUUGCUCCUUGAAUGUUGUUCUUAAAAACUUCUUCCUGCUCUGCGCCUAACUUGGGUGUUAGGUUCUUGAUA